rnacentral:rRNA from 1 species
UACGGAGGGUGCAAGCGUUAUCCGGAUUUACUGGGUUUAAAGGGUGCGCAGGCGGACUUUUAAGUCAGUGGUGAAAGCCCGGAGCUCAACUCCGGAAUUGCCAUUGAUACUGGGAGUCUCGAGUACAGUCGAGGUGGGCGGAAUGAGUCAUGUAGCGGUGAAAUGCUUAGAUAUGACUCAGAACACCGAUUGCGAAGGCAGCUUGCUAGACUGUAACUGACGCUCAGGCACGAAAGCGUGGGUAGCGAACAGG